rnacentral:rRNA from 1 species
GAAUCUUCCACAAUGGGCGAAAGCCUGAUGGAGCAACGCCGCGUGCAGGAUGAAGGCCUUCGGGUUGUAAACUGCUUUUAUAAGUGAAGAAUAUGACGGUAACUUAUGAAUAAGCACCGGCUAACUACGUGCCAGCAGCCGCGGUCAUACGUAGGGUGCAAGCAUUAUCCGGAGUGACUGGGCGUAAAGAGUUGCGUAGGUGGUUUGUUAAGUAGAUAGUGAAAUCUGGGGGCUCAACCUCACAGGCUAUUAUCUAAACUGGCAAACUCGAGAAUGGUAGAGGUAACUGGAAUUUCUUGUGUAGGAGUGAAAUCCGUAGAUAUAAGAAGGAACACCAAUGGCGUAGGCAGGUUACUGGACCAUUUCUGACACUGAGGCACGAAAGCGUGGGGAGCGAACGGG